UACGUAGGGUGCAAGCGUUAAUCGGAAUUACUGGGCGUAAAGCGUGCGCAGGCGGUUUUGUAAGUCUGGUGUGAAAUCCCCGGGCUCAACCUGGGAAUUGCAUUGGAGACUGCAAGGCUUGAAUCUGGCAGAGGGGGGUAGAAUUCCACGUGUAGCAGUGAAAUGCGUAGAGAUGUGGAGGAACACCGAUGGCGAAGGCAGCCCCCUGGGUCAAGAUUGACGCUCAUGCACGAAAGCGUGGGGAGCAAACAGG
rnacentral:rRNA from 1 species